GACGAACGCUGGCGGCGUGCUUAACACAUGCAAGUCGAGGGGGCUCGGGGGCAACUCCGGGUCACCGGCGAACGGGUGCGUAACACGUGAGCGACCUGCCCGACUGCGGGGGAUAGCCGGCCCAACGGCCGGGUAAUACCGCAUACGACAUCUGGGGCGCAUGCGCCGGAUGUGAAACCGAUUCAGGGCGGUUGGAGGGGCUCGCGGCCUAUCAGCUAG
rnacentral:rRNA from 1 species